rnacentral:lncRNA from 1 species
GUGUUCUCCUUAAUCUUCUGCCCCAGUGCCUAAGUCUAGAGGCUAGCCCUAACUGUUGACUAUGGCUCUGGGUCACCCUUUUAGAUCCUGGCAGCCCCUUAACAGGGUUUGCAUCCCACUUUUGGUUAUUUUUGUUUUACAUUGUCCUAUGUGGACUUCCCUUAUCUGGAGCUCUUAUAUACAUCAUAUUGAGAACUGCCCCCACCUUGAACUUCCUCACUCCACCUUUAGAGUUUGACCUCUAUACCAAGUUGAAAAAUGAGAACUCCCUGGUCCAACUGAACUUGGUGAUUUUGUAUUCUAGAAGAGGGACAGCUCUUUCGUUUUCUCUAGAUCUACUCAUUCUAUGCUAGUUUUAGUGAUCUGAGAGCUUUGGGGAUUUGGGAGUGGGAUUAGGUCUCCAUGCUAGUGCAUGUCCAAUAACAAAAUCACCACCACCCCUAGAAACAGAAGUAGAUUUAUGUGAAGCUAAAGAAUCUUAAAUUUCCAGGUCUUUGUUUGCAUGGGCCCCUUCCGAUGCCCUGGCAGGGGCUUCAGCAAUGUGUUCACAGAGACAUAUGAUUUUGUAAAUUUGCAAAAGUAAGAUAUUUUAACUGCAACCAAUGAUACCCAUUGUGUCAUUUCACUCCAUCUUCCAAUCUGUCGUAUUUAUACUCAUGUCGCAGUGGGCCAGGACGUAUUUUUGAUCUGGCUAAGUAGAAUGUGAGUGAGAGAUACAUUUAGUUGCAGUUUACUGGCACAGAUUUAUGUGCAUAGCAAUUACUUCUAUGAGUAAGCCAUGGCUAGUAGGCAGCCUUGAAGGUGCAAAGCUCAGAUAUCCCUUCAAGAGAACCUGUUGCCCUACUUCCUCCAGCCUCCGCACCUUCAGCAUCACACCAAAACCGUGCUUUCCCAGGGCUGCCCUAGCCAAUGAAUCUGCACGGUCUGAGUUCUAGAGCCGGCCCAUUUCUGCCAAUUGCAGAAUAAGCUGUCUUUGCCCUGGAGCCUCGACUUUCUCAGAGCUGACCUGCAGCCAGUUCUCCUCCAUUCUGUCUUUCUUUCUGCAGGUGUCAGGUCCUCCUCACAUUCGAAGGGUUCUAUCUUCUGUCCUUUCUCUUUUUUAUCUUCUAUGGGCAUUCUCCCUCAAGAAAUCUCUUGUACAUCGAAUUUCAACCUGGUGUCCACCUCAGAGGACACGAACUGACACCGUUAAAGAUUUCACAGGGCCUCCUUCAUGCUUCCAUUGGACAGCUGAACGGUUUCCUUUGUGGAUCACCCAAUUCUACUUCGUAGUCUACACAGAACUUGUUCUUCAGAAGAAAUCUCUAGCAGAGCCCAAUGAAUGACAUUGAUCCAACUGCAUCAGAGACUGUCAACCUCUCUGGGACCCAUUUCUGUGCCCCUCAGGCAGAGUUGAGUGCAUUCCUCUAUCGUCCAACAGAACAUAAUGCAUUUUAUUGCUGACCUUAUCUUAAUGGAUUAUUGUUACACUAUUUUAUGUAUCUUUUUUUUUUUUUCAUUAAAUCGUGAGCUUCUCAAGGGUAGGGGCAAUGUCUUACUAAUUUCAGAACCUAUCCCAAUAACUUGGCACAUAAUAAUUGCCCAGUAAGUGGUUGAUGAAUAAAAUACAUUUAACCUCCA